GCAGCUCCAAUUCCAGUCCGGUAGAGCCCGAGACACUCACUCUUGGGGUUGUGGGUUCGAGCCCCGUGUUAGGCA